rnacentral:rRNA from 1 species
GAUGAACGCUGGCGGCGUGCCUAAUACAUGCAAGUCGAGCGAACAGACGAGGAGCUUGCUCCUCUGACGUUAGCGGCGGACGGGUGAGUAACACGUGGAUAACCUACCUAUAAGACUGGGAUAACUUCGGGAAACCGGAGCUAAUACCGGAUAAUAUAUUGAACCGCAUGGUUCAAUAGUGAAAGACGGUUUUGCUGUCACUUAUAGAUGGAUCCGCGCCGCAUUAGCUAGUUGGUAAGGUAACGGCUUACCAAGGCAACGAUGCGUAGCCGACCUGGGAGGGUGAUCGGCCACACGGGAACUGAGACACGGUCCAGACUCCUACGGGAGGCAGCAGUAGGGAAUCUUCCGCAAUGGGCGAAAGCCUGACGGAGCAACGCCGCGUGAGUGAUGAAGGUCUUCGGAUCGUAAAACUCUGUUAUUAGGGAAGAACAAAUGUGUAAGUAACUAUGCACGUCUUGACGGUACCUAAUCAGAAAGCCACGGCUAACUACGUG